rnacentral:rRNA from 1 species
GACGAACGCUGGCGGCGUGCUUAACACAUGCAAGUCGAGCGGUAAGGCCCUUUCGGGGGUACGACGAGCGGCGAACGGGUGAGUAACACGUGGGUGACCUGCCCUUAGCUCUGGGAUAAGCCUGGGAAACUGGGUCUAAUACCGGAUAUGACUCCAUGACGCAUGUUGUGGGGUGGAAAGCCUUGUGCGGCUAGGGAUGGGCCCGCGGCCUAUCAGCUUGUUGGUGGGGUGAUGGCCUACCAAGGCGACGACGGGUAGCCGGCCUGAGAGGGCGACCGGCCACACUGGGACUGAGACACGGCCCAGACUCCUACGGGAGGCAGCAGUGGGGAAGUCUUGCGCAAUGGGCGAAAGCCUGACGCAGCGACGCCGCGUGAGGGAUGACGGCCUC